rnacentral:lncRNA from 1 species
AUGUCCACGUCUGGACGGGCCUCCUCACUCUCCUGGGCGCUGGUGCGGUUUGUCCUGGAACUUGAACACCAUACAAGAGGGGUGAGGUGCCUGCCACCCAGGAGGAUGGGUCCCCAGAAGUGGAGUGACAGGCGGCAGUCAUUCUGGCAAACACCUCUGUCCAGGCUAUGCCACGUGAGGGCCCCAGCAGCGCGCAGACAGCAGGGGAUCUUUGUACAUGUGCCUGAAGAGAUGCGGACAGUGAUCAUCACAGCCCAUGUGCACAGCGGCGACGCGGGGAAACACACAGGGACAUCUGCGGGCCUUGGACGCAGCCCUGAGCAGAGACGGGGAGACACGCAGUAUGAUUUAAUCACCGUCACGUGCGAGCCAAGCAAGUGGAACAGCGUGUGUCCUUUGGGGGCUGUGAGGGCAGAUCAGCCCUAA